rnacentral:rRNA from 1 species
AUGGCGAGCGGCGGGGGCAAGGUGACCGCUUUGUCCUGGGCGGCGGUGAUGAGCGUGGGCGCGGGCGCGGGCACGGUGGAGGCGCUCAAGGGGCGGCACGCCGGGCUGUGCCGCUGGAAAUACCACGCGCUCCCGUGCGUCCAGCAGCACACCGGCACCGCGGUCGCCGGGAACGGCAAGACCAUGGCGGCGCCCGCUGCCGGCGGGGCCGCGGCGAGGAGGAGGAAGGCGAGGAAGGAGGAGGAGGAGGAGGAGCUCCGGACAGUCAUGUACCUCAGUAACUGGGGACCGAACAAUUAG